rnacentral:rRNA from 1 species
CCUACGAGUGGCUGCCGUGAGGAAUAUUUGUCACUGUACGAGAGUCUUAACCAUCCAAGUAGCGUGAAGGCUGACUGCCCUAUGGGUUGUAAACUUCUUUUAUAUGGGAAUAAAACGUUCCACGUGUGGGAUUUUGUAUGUACCAUAUGAAUAAGGAUCUGCUAACUCCGUGCCAGCAGCCGCGGUAAUACGGAUGAUCCGAGCGUUAUCCGGAUUUAUUGGGUUGACAGGGAGCGUAGGUGGAUUGUUAAGUCAGUUGUGAAAGUUUGCGGCUCAACCGUAAAAUUGCAGUUGAAACUGGCAGUCUUGAGUACAGUAGAGGUGGGCGGAAUGCGUGGUGUAGCGGUGAAAUGCUUAGAUAUCACGAAGAACUCCGAUUGCGAAGGCAGUUCACUGGACUGCAACUGACACUGAGGCUCGAAAGUGUGGGUAUCAAACAGGAUUAGAUACCCUGGUAGUC